rnacentral:tRNA from 1 species
AAAAGAGGGGCGGAUGUAGCCAAGUGGAUCAAGGCAGUGGAUUUGUGAAUCCACCAUGCGCGAUUUGUGAUAC